rnacentral:tRNA from 1 species
UAUUAAAUAUCUUAAGUAAGAGAUAAAUUUUUAAUUUAUAUAUAAUAUAUUAACAAAUAUUUUUAAUAA